GGGCAAAAGUCGUAACAAGGUGCCGGUAGGUGAACCUGCCGGCGGAUCACUAACGCGACUAUAAACCCACAUUUGCGUCCGCAAUGCAAGACCAACACAGUUUGUGCGCACUCGUGACGUGAAAACGCUGUGGCCCCCCCUUUUUGGGGGGGUUUUUCAGUUACGAAUAACGGAUUCUCUGGGUUUCUGCGUGCAGACUGAGUAGUUGUGAAAAAGACCGUGACUACCGAGAGGUUUGCCGACAGCUCCGGCUAUAUUGGCCGCGGAGAGAGAAUUAAUGACCCGUGGUGGCGCCCAGAAAUCAUACCCAUUCACAUGAUGGAAUUUUCGAACGAACACACGAAGCUYAUACAAAGCUAUAUCGGUGGAUCACUUGGCUUGUGGAUCGAUGAAGAACGCAGUGAAUUGCGUUAAGAAUCACGAAUUACAGAUAUUAUGAGUGAUAUGUUUUCGAUUGCAUAUUGCACUGGCGGGCGUCAGCCCGCCAGUAUACUCUACUCAGGGUGUGAUAAAGAAAAUGGAAACGCUAGCRGACUUUUCAUUCACAUGUGGUGAGUCAAUGUYGCUCGCGCGAAUUGACCACAUCCGAGAAGGUAGCGCACGUAGAGCACAUACCUUAAAGCGUAACUGCGARAGUCGACAUGUCCAGYGUAGGAGGCGAUUUUCGAAUUGCAAGCGUUAUUCGAAUGCRUUUUUCGUCCGCGUACACGUUUGUUGUGCGAAYUUCGUCUCAUGUCGGGCAGUAAAUUCACGCUAACCGAAAUGGUAAAUCC
rnacentral:rRNA from 1 species